GACCUGAUGGCACAACGGUUAGUGCGUCUGAAUUCAGUAUUCUCCUCGGAAGGUAUUUAUACAGAAGAUCCUCGUUCAACUCGGGGUCAGGUCA